UUAGAGUUUGAUAGUGGCUCAGGAUGAACGCUGGCGGCGUGCCUAAUACAUGCAAGUCGAACGGGUGUAGCAAUACACUAGUGGCGAACGGGUGAGUAACACGUUGGUGACCUGCCCUAAAGAGGGGAAUACCACUUCGAAAGGAGUGACAAAACCGCAUAAGCUAGUGCUAGUUAGAGAGGCAUUAGUAAAAGAGCAAUCUACUUUAGGAGGGGCCUGCGGCCCAUCAGCUAGUUGGUGAGGUAAAAGCCCACCAAGGCGAAGACGGGUAGGGGACCUGAGAGGGUGAUCCCCCACAAUGGAACUGAAACACGGUCCAUACACCUGCGGGUGGCAGCAGUAGGGAAUAUUGCUUAAUGGGCGAAAGCCUGAAGCAGCAACGCCGCGUGAACGAAGAAGGCCUUCGGGUCGUAAAGUUCUUUUACGUGGGAUGAGGAAGGACAGUACCACGAGAAUAAGUCUCGGCUAACUACGUGCCAGCAGCCGCGGUAAAACGUAGGAGACGAGCGUUAUCCGGAUUUACUGGGCGUAAAGCGCGUGUAGGAGGCGCUACAAGUUGGAUGUGAAAGCUCCCGGCUUAACUGGGAGAGGUCGUUCAAGACUGUAGUGCUAGAGUGAGGCAGAGGUAGAUGGAACUCCGGGAGUAGUGGUGAAAUGCGUAGAUAUCCGGAAGAACACCAGAGGCGAAAGCGAUCUACUGGGCCUAAACUGACACUGAGACGCGAAAGCCAGGGUAGCAAACGGGAUUAGAGACCCCGGUAGUUCCUGGCCGUAAACGAUGUAGACUGAGCGUUGGUUGGGGUAAAAACCAAUCAGUGCUGAAAGCAAACGCGAUAUGUCUACCGCCUGGGGGAGUACGGUUCGCAAGAUUAAAAACUCAAAGGAAUUGACGGGGGCCCGCACAAGCAGCGGAGCGUGUGGUUUAAUUCGAUGAUACACGAAGAACCUUACCAGGGUUUGACAUACAAAGUGGUAGUGAAGCGAAAGCAGAACGACCCUUCGGGGAGCUUGAACAGGUGCUGCAUGGCUGUCGUCAGCUCGUGUCGUGAGAUGUUCGGUUAAGUCCGCUAACGAGCGCAACCCUUGUUGUGUGUUGCACGUAUCACGCAAGACCGCCGGUAGAAAGCCGGAGGAAGGUGGGGAUGACGUCAAGUCAGCAUGGCCUAUAUAUCCUGGGCUACACACACGCUACAAUGGUCGGUACAAUGGGUAGCUAAGCCGCGAGGCGGAGCCAAUCCUAAAAAGCCGGUCUCAGUUCAGAUUGCAGGCUGCAACUCGCCUGCAUGAAGAUGGAGUUGCUAGUAACCGCAGGUCAGCGAUACUGCGGUGAAUACGUUCCCGGGCCUUGUACACACCGCCCGUCACGUCAUGGGAGUUGGCAACACCUGAAGUCGGUAUCCUAACCGAAAGGGGGGAGCCGCCAAAGGUGGGGUGGAUAACUGGGACGAAGUCGUAACAAGGUAGGGCUACCGGAAGGUGGCCCUGGAUCACCUCCUUU
rnacentral:rRNA from 1 species